rnacentral:rRNA from 1 species
GAUGAACGCUGGCGGCGUGCCUAAUACAUGCAAGUCGAGCGAACAGACGAGGAGCUUGCUCCUCUGACGUUAGCGGCGGACGGGUGAGUAACACGUGGAUAACCUACCUAUAAGACUGGGAUAACUUCGGGAAACCGGAGCUAAUACCGGAUAAUAUAUUGAACCGCAUGGUUCAAUAGUGAAAGACGGUUUUGCUGUCACUUAUAGAUGGAUCCGCGCCGCAUUAGCUAGUUGGUAAGGUAACGGCUUACCAAGGCAACGAUGCGUAGCCGACCUGAGAGGGUGAUCGGCAACACUGGAACUGAGACACGGUCCAGACUCCUACGGGGGGCAGCAGUAGGGAAUCUUCCGCAAUGGGCGAAAGCCUGACGGAGCAACGCCGCGUGAGUGAUGAAGGUCUUCGGAUCGUAAAACUCUGUUAUUAGGGAAGAACAAAUGUGUAAGUAACUAUGCACGUCUUGACGGUACCUAAUCAGAAAGCCACGGCUAACUACGUG